rnacentral:siRNA from 1 species
UAAUUUGGUGAAGAAGCAUUUA